AGUGGACGCUGGCGGUAGGCCUAACACAUGCAAGUCGAACGGCAGCACAGUAAGAGCUUGCUCUUACGGGUGGCGAGUGGCGGACGGGUGAGGAAUACAUCGGAAUCUACUUUUUCGUGGGGGAUAACGUAGGGAAACUUACGCUAAUACCGCAUACGACCUACGGGUGAAAGCAGGGGAUCUUCGGACCUUGCGCGAUUGAAUGAGCCGAUGUCGGAUUAGCUAGUUGGCGGGGUAAAGGCCCACCAAGGCGACGAUCCGUAGCUGGUCUGAGAGGAUGAUCAGCCACACUGGAACUGAGACACGGUCCAGACUCCUACGGGAGGCAGCAGUGGGGAAGAUUGGACAAUGGGCGCAAGCCUGAUCCAGCCAUACCGCGUGGGUGAAGAAGGCCUUCGGGUUGUAAAGCCCUUUUGUUGGGAAAGAAAAGCAGCAGGUUAAUACCCCGCUGUUCUGACGGUACCCAAAGAAUAAGCACCGGCUAACUUCGU
rnacentral:rRNA from 1 species